rnacentral:snoRNA from 1 species
GACUCUGCUGUCGAUGAUGCAUUCUGUGUUGCCUGAGUGAAAAACAAAUGAGGUCAAUUUUCAGUUUUCGUCACUACCACUGAGACAGCAGUGCA